UCUGGUUUGCACCAGGAUGAAGAGGAUCAGAACUCACGUGAGCCGGGAGAAGGAAAUAAUAGACUGGGAUGAGAAGUGUCUGGAAAAAGGAAAGCUCAUCUUCAUAUCCAGAAGGAGGGAGAGAAACUGUGCCAGAAUGAAUGACUGCUGUAGAGUAGAGCACAUGAGCCAGUUCAGCCUAUGUAAAAUAGGAGUUUAUCAUAUCACUGAAAGGAGUUCUCAUCACCCUGGGAAGAAGAAAUUUCACUGCAAUUCAGACAUCUUUAUGACAUAUUAGUGUACCAUGGAUUCAGACAUGCCAUGUCCUACCAACCCAAGAAACUUCAACCAGAACUGAACUGUGCUGGAGGACAGGAAAUCAUGGGAAGCAGGAGGACUUGAAUUAAGAGGAAGGGAUUUGUUUUUCUUCUGUUUGGAUACCAGUGCCUGUUGAGCUACGGUGACAUACUGUACAAUCUGUGCUUCUCAUUAUGCAACUAAGCAAAAGGAAGACCUGCAAAAGAUUAAA